rnacentral:rRNA from 1 species
CAGCCCUUGACAUGGGGGUCGCGGGUCCCGGAGACGGGACCUUUCAGUUCGGCUGGACCCCACACAGGUGCUGCAUGGCUGUCGUCAGCUCGUGUCGUGAGAUGUUGGGUUAAGUCCCGCAACGAGCGCAACCCUCGCCUUCAGUUGCCAUCGGGUAGGGCCGGGCACUCUGGAGGAACUGCCGGUGACAAGCCGGAGGAAGGUGGGGAUGACGUCAAGUCCUCAUGGCCCUUACGGGCUGGGCUACACACGUGCUACAAUGGCGGUGACAAUGGGUUGCGAUCCCGCGAGGGUGAGCUAAUCUCAAAAAGCCGUCUCAGUUCGGAUUGCACUCUGCAACUCGGGUGCAUGAAGUUGGAAUCGCUAGUAAUCGUGGAUCAGCACGCCACGGUGAAUACGUUCCC